GACGAACGCUGGCGGCGUGCCUAAUACAUGCAAGUCGAGCGCAGGAAGCUGACGGAACUCUUCGGAGGAAAGGUAGUGGAAUGAGCGGCGGACGGGUGAGUAACACGUAAGGAACCUGCCUCAAGGAUUGGGAUAACUCCGAGAAAUCGGAGCUAAUACCGGAUAGUUCAACGGACCGCAUGGUCCGCUGAUGAAAGGCGCUCCGGCGUCACCUUGAGAUGGCCUUGCGGUGCAUUAGCUAGUUGGUGGGGUAACGGCCCACCAAGGCGACGAUGCAUAGCCGACCUGAGAGGGUGAUCGGCCACACUGGGACUGAGACACGGCCCAGACUCCUACGGGAGGCAGCAGUAGGGAAUCUUCCACAAUGGACGAAAGUCUGAUGGAGCAACGCCGCGUGAGUGAUGAAGGUUUUCGGAUCGUAAAACUCUGUUGUAAGGGAAGAACACGUACGAGAGGGAAUGCUCGUACCUUGACGGUACCUUACGAGAAAGCCACGGCUAACUACGUGCCAGCCGCCGCCGUAAAAC
rnacentral:rRNA from 1 species